ACCACUUGCACACAAACUAAUCUUAACCUCUCUCUCUCACACGUACAAUUACACUCACCAGACUAAUUUUCACAUUAACAUCUUCAAUACACAAAUUCACCUAUCAUCUCCUUUCACUAACACUUCCACAAACAAAUAAAACAAGAAAAAUUACUAUGGAGAAUUUUGAGUCACGCAACCACCUUCUCUGUUCAGGUCGUCGCGGGGCCAAAAUGCGAGUUGUCGGAAAUACGAUCAAGUCCCAUCAUCGGUGCUGACCGGAUCGUCGCUCAAGUCACAACAGAUCCGGUCAACUGUGUCGAUGUCCCAUCACCAGAAACACAAUUGUUCCGCGCCGCCUACAACAUCCAUGUUCGACGUCCACGUCCAUUGCUCGCCCCUAUUUCCGAUCGUUGUUUAAAAAGAAAAGGAGUUAUCUUGUUGCUGAGAAAUGAAGUUUUUAGAAAGAAAAGUGGGUCACGUGAGAAGAGGAGAGAUGGAUUUCAAUGGCCAUGUAAGUUACUUAGAAAUAUAUUUUUAUUAUAUUUUGUUUUGUUUUUAUAUGUUUCAAUUUCUUUCUCUUUUUGUAUAUAAAUAUUAUUACCAAUCAAAUGUGGGUUUAGGUUUAUUAGAUCAUUUGCUUAGUUUUUUUUGUUUUUUUUUUGUUUUUUUUAAUUAUUAUUAUUAUUUUUAUAUUUAGUUAUUAAACCAUUUUAGUUUUAAUCCCUUAAUUUAGUUUUCUAGUUAAUAUAUUUAAAUCUUUAAUUUUAUUUUAAGUUAAUUGUUUCAGUCAGUCUAUUUAAAAAAUAACAGUAAGAAUAAAAAAUAUAUCUUUUUAUAGUUAGCUUAAAUAUUCAAAAAAAUGUUACCCAAUGUUUGAAAGUGGUUGUCUUUGUCUUAGGAAAUGAAGGAAAUAAGUCAUGUUGUGGAACUUAGGUUCCAAAAGAUAUGUUAAUGAUUUUAGUUGUUAGUUUAUUAAUCAUUCUAUUUAGGUAGUAUUUUAGCCUAAUUGUAUUUUAAACUUUACUUAAUAUUAGUAAAAAAAUAAAAAAAAUAAAAAGAUAUAUAAUUAGGAUUAAAAUGGGAUUAGAAUUAAU
rnacentral:lncRNA from 1 species